UAACGAUGUUGUGUUAAAGAA
rnacentral:piRNA from 1 species